rnacentral:rRNA from 1 species
AGGAUAAACGCUGGCGGCGUGCCUAACACAUGCAAGUCGAACGCGCUUACUAUCCGCGAGGAGGGUGAGCGAGUGGCGGACGGGUGAGGAACACGUGGGUGACCUACCUUUCAGUGAGGGAUACCGGCGAGAAAUUGCCGACAAGACCGCAUACGCUUCUCUUUUCAAGGGGAGAAGGAAAGCUUUUCGCAAGAGAGGCGCUGGGAGAUGGGCCUGCGGCCGAUUAGCUAGCUGGUGGGGUAAUGGCCUACCAGGGCGACGAUCGGUAGCUGGUCUGAGAGGACGAUCAGCCACACUGGGAUUGAGAACGGCCCAGACUCCUACGGGGGGCAGCAGUGAGGAAUUUUCGGCAAUGGGGGCAACCCUGACCGAGCAACGCCGCGUGCAGGACGACGGCCUUCGGGUUGUAAACGUGCUUUUCUCUUGGGACGAGCAAGGACGGUACCGAGAGGAAGAAGCCCGGCUAACUACGACGCCAGCAGCCGCGGU